AUUGAACGCUGGCGGCAUGCCUUACACAUGCAAGUCGAACGGCAGCACGGGUGCUUGCACCUGGUGGCGUGUGGCGCACGGGUGUGUAAUACAUCGGAACAUGUCCUGUAGUGGGGGAUAGCCCGGCGAAAGCCGGAUUAAUACCGCAUACGAUCUACGGAUGACAGCGGGGGACCUUCGGGCCUCGCGCUAUAGGGUUGGCCGAUGGCUGAUUAGCUAGUUGGUGGGGUAAAGGCAUACCAAGGCGACGAUCAGUAGCUGGUCUGAGAGGACGACCAGCCACACUGGGACUGAGACACGGCCCAGACUCCUACGGGAGGCAGCAGUGGGGAAUUUUGGACAAUGGGCGAAAGCCUGAUCCAGCAAUGCCGCGUGUGUGAAGAAGGCCUUCGGGUUGUAAAGCACUUUUGUCCGGAAAGAAAUCCUUGGCCCUAAUACGGUCGGGGGAUGACGGUACCGGAAGAAUAAGCACCGGCUAACUACGUG
rnacentral:rRNA from 1 species